UACGAAGGGGACUAGCGUUGUUCGGACUUACUGGGCGUAAAGCGCACGUAGGCGGAUUCGUAAGUCAGGGGUGAAAUCCCGGGGCUCAACCUCGGAACUGCCUUUGAUACUGCGGGUCUUGAGUCCGAUAGAGGUGGGUGGAAUUCCUAGUGUAGAGGUGAAAUUCGUAGAUAUUAGGAAGAACACCGGUGGCGAAGGCGGCUCACUGGCCAGUUUCUGACGCUGCAGCGCGAAAGCGUGGGGAUCAAACAGG
rnacentral:rRNA from 1 species